UGAAUACAUAGGUUAACGAGGCGAACCGGGGGAACUGAAACAUCUAAGUACCCCGAGGAAAAGAAAUCAACCGAGAUUCCCCCAGUAGCGGCGAGCGAACGGGGAGCAGCCCAGAGUCUGAAUCAGCUUGUGUGUUAGUGGAACGGUCUGGAAAGUCCGACGGUACAGGGUGAUAGUCCCGUACACCAAAAUGCACAGGUUGUGAACUCGAAGAGUAGGGCGGGACACGUGGUAUCCUGUCUGAAUAUGGGGGGACCAUCCUCCAAGGCUAAAUACUCCUGACUGACCGAUAGUGAACCAGUACCGUGAGGGAAAGGCGAAAAGAACCCCGGCGAGGGGAGUGAAAAAGAACCUGAAACCGUGUACGUACAAGCAGUGGGAGCACCUUCGGGUGUGACUGCGUACCUUUUGUAUAAUGGGUCAGCGACUUAUAUUCUGUAGCAAGGUUAACCGUAUAGGGGAGCCGCAGGGAAACCGAGUCUUAACUGGGCGUUAAGUUGCAGGGUAUAGACCCGAAACCCGGUGAUCUAGCCAUGGGCAGGUUGAAGGUUGGGUAACACUAACUGGAGGACCGAACCGACUAAUGUUGAAAAAUUAGCGGAUGACUUGUGGCUGGGGGUGAAAGGCCAAUCAAACCGGGAGAUAGCUGGUUCUCCCCGAAAGCUAUUUAGGUAGCGCCUCGUGAACUCAUCUUCGGGGGUAGAGCACUGUUUCGGCUAGGGGGUCAUCCCGACUUACCAACCCGAUGCAAACUACGAAUACCGAAGAAUGUUAUCACGGGAGACACACGGCGGGUGCUAACGUCCGUCGUGAAGAGGGAAACAACCCAGACCGCCAGCUAAGGUCCCAAAGUCAUGGUUAAGUGGGAAACGAUGUGGGAAGGCACAGACAGCCAGGAUGUUGGCUUAGAAGCAGCCAUCAUUUAAAGAAAGCGUAAUAGCUCACUGGUCGAGUCGGCCUGCGCGGAAGAUGUAACGGGGCUAAACCAUGCACCGAAGCUGCGGCAGCGAC
rnacentral:rRNA from 1 species